GAUGAACGCUGGCGGCGUGCCUAAUACAUGCAAGUCGAGCGAACGGACGAGAAGCUUGCUUCUUUGACGUUAGCGGCGGACGGGUGAGUAACACGUGGAUAACCUACCUAUAAGACUGGGAUAACUUCGGGAAACCGUAGCUAAUACCGGAUAAUAUUUUGAACCGCAUGGUUCAAAAGUGAAAGACGGUCUUGCUGUCACUUAUAGAUGGAUCCGCGCUGCAUUAGCUAGUUGGUAAGGUAACGGCUUACCAAGGCAACGAUGCAUAGCCGACCUGAGAGGGUGAUCGGCCACACUGGAACUGAGACACGGUCCAGACUCCUACGGGAGGCAGCAGUAGGGAAUCUUCCGCAAUGGGCGAAAGCCUGACGGAGCAACGCCGCGUGAGUGAUGAAGGUCUUCGGAUCGUAAAACUCUGUUAUUAGGGAAGAACAUAUGUGUAAGUAACUGUGCACAUCUUGACGGUACCUAAUCAGAAAGCCACGGCUAACUACGUG
rnacentral:rRNA from 1 species